AAGGCAUGUCAUUAAGCAAAGGCAGCAGCGCAGUCAUCAACUACAAGCACCAUUUAUUCACCAACUAUGGAGUUGGGGAAACAUGUGUGGACCUGAAUUGUGAAAACUGCAGUGGCCAAAACAAGAACACGUUUGUGCUCCAGACCAUACACAAGCUCCACCACAGUCUGGAUCUUCACUUCCUGAUCACAGGCCACACCAAGUUUGCUCCGGCCUCAUCAAGUAGAGCUUCAGAAAGACUCUGUCUUUGUCUGAGAUGGCUGGUGUUGUGAAGGUACAGCACUGUGACAGGGGUCAACAUCCCAGAGCUGGUUAGACUGGAGGAAGGUACGGUGCUGGUGGAAAGCUAUGGCUGUCAACAACAGCUGACUCCGUACUUCAGGCCUCUGCCACAGAUCAAGCACUACCAGCACUUCAGCUUCGAUGCUCUGGAGCCCGGUGUUGUUGUCGCCAAGGAGCGUUCGGGCUCAGUUUCAGCUGCUGCGGAACGCUGACGUCCUUCCUCCAAUAUAUGGUAUGCCUGUACAAGCACCACCUGGACUGUACACAGCUAGACAAACAUAUAUUUUUGAGAAGAUCAAGGAGUUUUUCGAAGAAGAGUCUAUGGAAAUCACAUGCCCUGCACCAAAGUCAAGGGCAGGACAGAAACAGGCUCUCCGAAUAUAGAUUCCUUUGUUCAUGCGAGGUUCGGACGGACCAGUCAUCAGCACUUUCUGCAGUGCCUCUAUUCAAAUGACUGUCUCCUAACACACACGCCAUACGUUGUUGGUACUAUUAUUUUAUUUUUAACCUGCUGCUCAACCACUUUACCCCUCGUCUAUCACUGAUAUUGUUAUUGAUAUUGUUCUUGUACAAACUGUAUAUUAUUUUAUUUAUAUUGACACUAUCUAUUUCUGAUAUUGCUACUAUGCAAGUAACUAUUUGGCUGUACCGUUUACACCUCCUGUAGAGACCCAUCAACUUAGCAAGAUGUGGCCAGUGGUGUAAAGUACUUAAGUAAAAAAAAAAUAAUGGAGUACUACUUAAGUAUUUUUGUGCGGUAUCUGUACUUUACUUUACUAUUUAUAUUUUUGGCAACUUUUACAUUUCCUUAACUACAUUCCGAAUGAAAAUAAUGUACUUUUUACUCCAUACAUUUUCCCUGACACUCAAAAGUACUCGUUACAUUUUGACAGGAAAAUCCCUGGUCAUCCCUACUGCAUCUGAUCUGGCAGACUCAUUAAACACAAAUGCUUUGUUUGUAAAUAAUGUCUGAGUGUUGGAGUGUACCCCUGGCUAUUCGUCAAUAAAGAAUACAGUUGUGCUGUCUGGUUUGCUUAAUA